CCUACGGGAGGCAGCAGUGAGGAAUAUUGGUCAAUGGGCUUACGCCUGAACCAGCCAAGUAGCGUGAGGGAAGACUGCCCUAUGGGUUGUAAACCUCUUUUGUCAGGGAGCAAUGGGCGCUACGUGUGGCGUUAUCGAGAGUACCUGAAGAAAAAGCAUGGGCUAACUCCGUGCCAGCAGCCGCGUUAAUACGGGGGAUGCGAGCUUUAUCCGAAUUUAUGGGGUUUAAAGGGUGCUGAGUCGGUAUGCAAAUUAAGCGGUAAAGAUUCGGGGCUAAACGCCGGCUAGCCGUUGAAACUGGCGUUCUUGAGUGGGCGAGAAGUAUGCGGAAUGCGUGGUGUAGCGGUGAAAUGCAUAGAUAUCACGCAGAACUCCGAUUGCGAAGGCAGCAUACUGGCGUCCUACUGACGCUGAGGCACGAAAGUGUGGGUAUCGAACAGGAUUAGAUACCCUAGUAGUC
rnacentral:rRNA from 1 species